CAACUCACCCUGGGCAGUUGUGAUGCUGUGAUCACAAAGGCCAUUUUCACAAGGUGAGGCUCAUCCAUUGCUCUCCUGUGUGUUGACCCCUUAAUUUUCCCAAAUGCAGGAAAAUGGACUGCAUAAUUUGUGGUAGCAGGGAACUGUGUACCAGCUCUCUCCCUGU
ensembl:snRNA U1 U1 spliceosomal RNA